AUGGCGACGCAGGCCGCCUUCGCAGUGAGGUUCCCGCAGCUGGCGCGGCCGGGCAGGGGCCAUGGCCAGGGACAGCCGGCGACGCGGGUCGCGGUAAGGGGCGGCAGGGCCGCGGCGGCGGCGGCGCGCGGGGUGCGGUGCCGGGCCGGCGGCCUGAUCGAGCCGGACGGGGGCAGGCUGGUGGAGCUGGUGGCGCCCGAGGAGGGCGGCCGGCGGGCGGCGCUGCGCCGGGAGGCGGCGGCGCUGCCGCACCGGCUGCGCCUGGGCCGCGUGGACACCGAGUGGCUGCACGUGCUCAGCGAGGGCUGGGCCAGCCCGCUGCGCGGCUUCAUGCGCGAGACCGAGUUCCUCCAAGCACUUCAUUUCAACGCCGUCCGCGGCGCCGAUGGCAGCCUCGUCAACAUGUCCGUGCCCAUCGUCCUCGCCCUCGACGACGCCCAGCGCCGCGCCAUCCAGGCCGACGGCGCCACCACCGUCGCGCUCGUCGACGCCCACGACCGCCCCGUCGCCGUGCUCAGCGAUAUUGAGAUCUACAAGCAUAACAAGGAAGAAAGAAUUGCACGGACUUGGGGAACAACUGCACGUGGACUGCCGUACGUAGAGGAGGCGAUUACAAAUGCUGGUGAUUGGUUGAUUGGUGGAGACCUGGAGGUUAUAGAACCAAUCAAGUAUAAUGAUGGUCUGGAUCAGUAUCGUUUGUCUCCAGCACAGCUGCGUGAAGAAUUUGCCAGGCGCAAUGCAGAUGCGGUAUUUGCUUUUCAACUGCGUAACCCUGUGCACAAUGGGCAUGCGUUGCUCAUGACUGAUACACGGAGGCGCCUUCUUGAGAUGGGCUACAAAAACCCUGUUCUUCUUCUCCAUCCACUGGGAGGAUUCACAAAAGCAGAUGAUGUGCCUCUUAGUGUGAGAAUGAAGCAGCAUGAGAAGGUUCUUGAGGAAGGUGUCCUAAACCCAGAAUCAACUGUGGUUGCAAUCUUCCCCUCUCCAAUGCACUAUGCUGGGCCAACUGAGGUCCAGUGGCAUGCUAAGGCUCGUAUAAAUGCUGGUGCAAACUUCUAUAUUGUCGGAAGAGACCCUGCUGGUAUGGGCCACCCAACCGAAAAGAGGGACCUUUAUGAUGCUGAUCACGGGAAAAAAGUACUGAGCAUGGCUCCUGGGCUUGAGAGGCUCAAUAUCCUUCCUUUCAAGGUGGCUGCAUAUGACACAAAGCAUAACAAGAUGAAUUUCUUCGACCCAUCGAGGAAAGAGGACUUCCUGUUCAUCUCUGGCACAAAGAUGCGUAGCCUUGCCAAGAACCGUGAGAGCCCACCAGAUGGUUUUAUGUGCCCGGGUGGCUGGAAGGUCCUCGUCGAGUACUACGACAGCUUGGCACCACCAGAAGGCAGCAGCAAACCGCGAGAGGCGGUUGCGGCUUAG
rnacentral:rRNA from 1 species